UGGAGAAAUGUUCAAUGCUUCAAGACUCUGAAGCUGAUUUUAUUAGGUCCACCCAGUGGCUUUUGACUGUUUGAGGGUCAGAUGGUUGUGAAUUCAUACCUCAACAUUGUGCGUCCCGGGACCAGGCAUCUUCUGCACACAUUAAUUUUUUCAAAGAUGUUUUCUUGGAAUCACAACACUCACUGGAUACAAGACAGACACAUAGAGGCAAAACAAGUGGAAAAGUCUCAGAAGAGGGACAACUCUCAUGUGUGUGCUCAUCUCAGAAAGUUGAUGGACUUUCAGUAUGUAUUUAUUAAAUUGUCUUUUGCAGGAAUAUUCUUAAUUUAAUAGAACAUAAGCUCAAACAACAGAAUUUGUGA